UGUGUGUGCGUGCGUGUGUGAGUGUGUGUGCGCGCGCCCCGGGGGCAGGGAGGCGGGGGGCUGCGGCGGGCGGCGGAGCGCGGGGGCUGGUUCCUGGUCCCCGGGAGAAGCCAAGAAGAUCUCGUCCCGGAUGAGAUUCAGCGGUUCCCCACUCUGGGUGACCUUGGGCAAGCCCCUCUCCUGUCAUUACGGAACGCAUGCUCUGUGCCAGACACUGUGUUAAAAACCCUGGGAUUACCACCACGAGAGAUAGAAUGGCAGCCGGGCUUGGAUGAUGGCCCAAGCCAUCAGAUCAGGAGAACCUAAAAGAAACACUGAACCACACCGAUUCCCUGCAGCCUGCCAGGGACGUGGUAGCUGCCCUGCCAAGAGCUAUCCUGGGAGGGCUAUUGAAAGAGCUUUGAGCACUUGAGCGGCUCUGCACCCAGCAUUUGGAUGGAGAAAGGGAUAGGCGAGAAAGCCAAGUGUCUACCCACAGAAGAGGAUUCAGGAAUGCUUUCAGCAAGAGUCCUGGUUGCCAUGCAGUGGCAUUUGAAACGACCGCAACUCUGCAUUCCAUCUUUGAUAAAAAUAAGUUGCUACUUCUAAACAAAACUGCCUAGUUGGUUUCUGGCCAAGCUGGGACCUCGAACUGCAAAUCGCGGGUGAAGGUGGAAAAACAAACUUUUCAGCAUUGGCUCAUAGCAGGCUGUAAUGCUUUCUGCUUCCCCCGAGCCCUUUGGAAAACUUGACCACAGCCAGUGGGACCAAGGGAAUGUGCACUUUUCUAAUGGGCCCAAAAAGAGGAUGGUUGCCAGGAAAGCCUUUCCCAUGGGGCGGGGGCAGGGCACCGGGGACAGCUGAACUCCCACAUUUGGCCACAGCAGCCAUGGCGUGCAGGCUUUAAAAUGUGCUCUCAGCUAACCUUUUACUCUGAGCAGGGCUGCAGUGAGGCAAGCCUGCAAGCCCAGGGAUGAAGGCGGGCAUUUCUGAGGGAUUGCACGGCUGCUGACUUGCGCCCUUGUGUGUGAAAGGCUCAGAACUGCACCGGGGCUGGUGCCUGUAGGGGCCUCUGGAAGACUCAGGAAGGUCGGGUGAAGUUUUAGCCCUUAACUUUAAACCCAGGACAUGGGUUUGCUGGGCUUGCUGAUAGCUGCUCAAAUUGUGACAUCAGAUCAAGUUUCUCAAAAACUCAAAAACAAAAACAAUGCAACUAACCAAGAGAAUCAUUUGGAUAAAACUUAGGGCCAGAAAGUGAUAUGGGAUGAAUGUAGAAGGCAUAUUUUAAAUCAAAGUCGCUGUCAUUGUUACCCUUGCUUAUUUUCCUCGGCUUAUAGGAAAGGGGUAGGGGAGGCAAAGUAAGAGACCUAACAGGUGGCUUAAUGGGUCCGUUCGUUGAAUGCAUAGGAAAAUUGAGCCUAGGAAGAAGUGACUGGACUAAGGUUUAACAGCCUCCCCAGAGAGGGAAGAGAAGGCCAGAAUUAGGCUCGAGUUUCCUACCCACCAGUCCAGAAACCCACCCCUCUGUAUCUGUAUGAGAAUAACGUUUUGAAAUAUCAGCUACAGCAAGUGACUAACAUUACCACCAAAGAUGGAUUUUCUGGUUGAGAACCAGAGCUACCUGCUGGUAGGUGAGUGUGCUGGUGUGACAGAGUAUGCCCAGCACACAGCGUGGUUAAAUGCCGGGCUUGCUGCACCGUGAUUCCCUCUAGAAUUUGCUCACCACCCUGUGACCGCUGGAAAAGAAGAGAUCUUGAUUUCUGAGUUCCAGGAGGCAGGAAGCUGCUCGCAGGGGCCACACAGAAUAGUAGAGGGAGAGGUGAGACAAAGAAUGAAUUUUUCCAAGUGGUAGAGAGAUGGUAUUUGCAUGUGAGAUACACAUUUUCCUUUUGUGUAUCAGGCUUAGGGAACAAGAAAAGACAGUCCGGGCAGCUGCCACAACUGCCACUUAAGACUCUGGUGGGUUCUAGCAUUUCGGGAGCUUCUGGUCUCUUUCACAGAGUUGGAGGGUACCUGUCUUCUUGUCUUGUAGUAUUUGACAGUGGACAAGGCACUUUAUAGUUCAUUACAGCAUUUUGUCCUCAUAUAUAGCCUUAUAACCUAGCCUAGAAAGACAUGGUGGAAGGCCCAGGGAUGGGGAGAGAGAGGAUUCAAGUGAUUAGUUCAGGAGACCAUGGGCUGUUGAGGGCACAGAAUAUAGGAUAGACAAGCUUCCUGGAAAGUUGUACCUCUAGAGAAACAGGGCAGGGAGCUUAGAGGCCAGGAGAGAACAAACUUUCCUUUCUCAGCCACCGGCAAGAAUAAGAUGUCAAG